AGAUUCACUUUGUUCUGUUUUGUUUGAAGUUUUAUGAGAAAAAAGGGAAGUUGUAAACUGUGGAUUUUAUUUUACAAGUUAAUGGACUUUUAUUUUGAAAGAUGCGUCUUUUCCUGCUCACGCUGUCCAUGUGACUGGCAACUUCCAAUCAGGUUGUUGUUGAGCUGAGAGCUCCGGUGCCAGAGCGUAGCCUUCAUUGCAAGCUUCGCAGCCUGAGGGAGAAGACGAGGAACGCAGUUUAUUAAAGUUUGAAACCUAUUUAUUUCAUUUUUACCUGGUGGUGAAGUUAUUUUUGGUUUUUCCACCUGUGAGGCCUGAAAAACAUUUUUUUCUUUACCAAACGGGACUUGGCCAUUAAGAUUGGGCCGAAAAAACUGACUCGUGUCGGAUCCAUGUGCGUGAAGAGAACAAGAUGGCGAGCCAACCCUGAACCUCUUGAAGUAGCAAAGGACCAAGCGCCCUCUGCUGGACACUUGACAACUCUUUUCAUCCUGUGGAACUGGUAGGAACUUUCCUCAUUCCCCUGCAAACCGCAGAGCAUUCUGGACAAUCGAACUCGAACUUACGAACACUCCUGAGCCGAAGUUGCGAGGAAAGAGAUACAAGUUUGUCUUUGGGUUUUAUUCAGUCUUUUGCUGAAUCACUUUGAGUUAUAUGUAUUUCAUUUUAUUUUUUAUUUCCAUUCACAGAAAUACUGUAAAGUAUUAUUGUGCAAAUUGAGUUGUUGUUUUGUUGGUCAAAGCAAUGAAAAAAAACCCUGAAAUUAAGGAGACUUAAAUUAAUUUAGAAUGGGAUAAAAUAAUUUAACUUAGAAUUAGAACAAAACUAGAACUUGAUACGUGAACUUGAAUCAACUAGAACUAAACUUUGAACAACUAGAACUGAAACUAAAAGAAAAAACAAAAUAGAUCUCAAUCCUAACUUAAAGGUUGAACAAAAUUGAACUUAAGAGCUAACCUAGGUUAAAUAAAAAAUAUCCUUUUAAUCUAAAUCAUAAGAUUAAAAACAAAACUGGGAUUUCUUUGUUUAAUGUUAUGUGUCUUUGUAUUGUUUAUGUAUGUCUAAUUAAAUAAGCCGGCUAAUCUUAA